rnacentral:tRNA from 1 species
GGGGAUGUAGCUCAGCGGCACAGUACCUGCCUGGCAAGUGUGAGGUCCUGAGUUGGAUCCCCAGUACCCCCA